rnacentral:rRNA from 1 species
CGAGCUUGCUCACGGGCUUUCUAUCAUAUCCAUAACACCUGUGCACUUGUUGGAUGUCUAGAGACGUAAAGUCGACAGUCAUCCACUUACACUAAACAAUAAUGUAACAAAUGUAGUCUUAUUAUAACAAAAUAAAACUUUCAACAACGGAUCUCUUGGCUCUCGCAUCGAUGAAGAACGCAGCGAAAUGCGAUAAGUAAUGUGAAUUGCAGAAUUCAGUGAAUCAUCGAAUCUUUGAACGCACCUUGCGCUCCUUGGUAUUCCGAGGAGCAUGCCUGUUUGAGUGUCAUGAAAACCCUCAACCUUAGAUUGGUUAUUUGACCUUUCUUUGGCUUGGAUUUGGACGUUUGCCGAUGUCAAGUCGGCUCGUCUUAAAAGUAAUAGCUGGAUCUGUCUCGCGACAUGGUUUGACUUGGCGUAAUAAGUAUUUCGCUAAGGACAUCUUCGGAUGGCCCUGUUGCAGGACUAAAGACCGCUUUCUAAUCCAUUGAUCUUCGGAUUAAUAUUCAUAACAUCUGGCCUCAAAUCAGGUAGGACUACCCGCUGAACUUAAGCAUAUCAAUAAGCGGAGGA